UUGGAAACUGAUUUACUUGAGUGCGAUAGAGGCAAGUGGAACUCCAUGUGUAGCGGUGAAAUGCGUAGAUAUGUGGAAGAACACCAGUGGCGAAAGCGGCUUGCUGGAUCGUAACUGACGUUGAGGCUCGAAAGUAUGGGUAGCAAACGGGAUUAGAUACCCCGGUAGUCCAUACCGUAAACGAUGGGUGCUAGUUGUUAAGAGGUUUCCGCCUCCUAGUGACGUAGCUAACGCAUUAAGCACCCCGCCUGAGGAGUACGGCCGCAAGGCUAAAACUUAAAGGAAUUGACGGGGACCCGCACAAGCGG
rnacentral:rRNA from 1 species